AAGAACGUCCAGACCCACAGGGACCUGGUUGUCAGAUGCACGGGUCUCACUAUGGGAGCUGUCCCCACCUGCUCUGCCUGAGGAGCCACUCCUCACAACGGCCCCGCCCCAAACUGCGCCAGCCAGUCCCAGCUGCUAAGGGCCCAGGCGAGCACAGUCUUCCAUGCCGACCGGUGCAGGUGCACUUACCCGCGUCCCUCUCCCCGCUGCCCAGGAGAAUGAGGACAAUGUGAUGCUCAGCCGCUGAGGCCAAUCCAGGGAGCCUGCCUUGAUCUCUGCGAUCAGGAAUGUGGCUGAGCAGAUGCAGCUUCUACCUCCAAAUGGACACGCCUCUCAGAUGCUCUGUUGCUAGAAGGGUCCUGGCAGUGCAGGGAAAGGUGGCUCUGCACUGGAGGCUCCACAUAAAGGGCUCAAAACUUCUGGUCCAGUGUCUAAAAGCUGUUCACAGGGAUGACUGGACCCUACUAAGCAUUCUUUCAUCUGUAGUGAACAUUUCACCAAAAAAAACUCUUGGACAGGCUGGAGGAUCAGUACUACGUGCUCAAGCCCACGGCCUUGCCCUCCAACUUCCACCUGACUGAGAAGGAGGAGCUGAAGGCCG